GUAACACUGAACUAAACAACCAGUAAAGCUCUACACAGUGAACUGCCAAAGAGAGGUUGAUCAAAAAACACUUAAGAGGAAGGAAUAUGAGCACUCCACAGGAUGCUGGAUUUGCUCAAGUUUUGUGAGACAAGACCGUUAGGAGAAACAGGGAACUGUUGAGCAGAGACAGGGAGAAUGGAACAGAAUGGACAUUCUGUCCUGGAUGGCUCCACUUCUGCUGCACAACUUCUGAUUUACUGCUUAGAAACGUCCGGAGUUCACCAACACACCACUGAGCGUUAAAGCAGACGGAUGGAGUGGCAUAAAGACAGAAAACGCACACAUCCAAAUAUGCAUCCUAGCCAAAAAAAAAAGUGUUUCUUUCUGAAGAAAAUGUUAUGUUUGCAGGAACAGAGACUCUGAAUGCAAAUUCAGCACAGUGCUUUCCACCACACACACGCACACACACGCAGUAACCCUUAGGCCAUGUGUGAUCAGAUCCAGUUGGUUGUGUUAGAGGAAAGGGCCUCUUCCAUCUAAACACAUUAUAUCUCUGUUAGCCUUGAUGGCACUGAUAUUUCAGUCUGCCAUUCUACUAUUUAAUAACUAUGGGUUAUUCAGCCACCCUUGCAGCUAUUUUCUGUUGAUUGGAUACUUCAUAACCAACAAAGAUCUGUUAUUAUAAUAUUUGGUCUAAUUUCUAUUGCCACACUAAAGGAUGUACAUGUCUUUUGCCUGGUGUUGCUGUCACACUUGCAUAAAAGAUGAGUUUAGGUUAGUUUGGUUUGCUUACAUGCUUUUGUCCGCUGUUUGCCCUUUCAGUUCUGAUUUACUGGAAGUCAUGUAUAUGUUCCCUAAACAAGAUUCUCUUAAAUGAGCACACAAUACUGUAUUUUAAAGAAGCCUUGGAGCCGUGAGGAAUUUCAAAACUUGCUGAGACACACUUUCACACAAAACAUAGAGAAACAUGUACAAUCCCACAUGUGUGGAGAUCAGAGUGAAAGCAGAAGUCUUGGUUUUGAGAGGGUAGCAAUGAGAAUGAUACAGGGUGUGUGCUGGAAACAAAACGGACUUCUUUCCCAUUGGCCUCCACAGAUGGUUUCGUAGUGGCUGAUAAUCUAUAUAAUCCUUCUUAUUUAUUAAAAAAAGAACUAGCUCGACCUCUGCUCAACUACAGAAUCCUGCCAGGACAAACCAGACCCGUUGCUUCAAGAUUCCUAACACUACCGCUUCAAAACAAGUGAGAAAUUGUGAGCUGCAAGAUUCCUACACAGUGAGGUUACCUGAAGAGCGCAAGUUUUUCUUGAUUUGUUACUCCCCAAACUGUGUUGAUGACAUAUAUUGAAAUUUAAGUAAAAUUGUAUUUACCUAAAAACUCACUACGCCAAAAAUGUUAAAUUGUUGAUUUUGUUUGUUUGUAAAUAUAAAGGAGGAAUAAAGAGCUUAAACUUUUAGACCUGAUCUACUGAGUAGAAGGAAUUGUUGCAUUCGAACAAAAAGUUGUAUCCAAAAUCCAUGAUGCGGUCCGCACACUGAACAAAGUCUAUCAAAAAUACAUUUUUUUUAAAAAUGUAUUUUAAACUUCCAUACUGAUGAAGUGCAGUGUGUAAGUUAAAAACAGACCAACGAGAAAAUGUUUCAGA